rnacentral:rRNA from 1 species
UACGUAGGGCGCAAGCGUUAUCCGGAAUUAUUGGGCGUAAAGAGCUCGUAGGCGGUUCCGUAAGUCAGAUGUGAAAACUCAGGGCUCAACCCGGAGACGCCAUCUGAUACUGCGGUGACUGGAGUCUGGUAGGGGAACACGGAAUUCCUGGUGUAGCGGUGAAAUGCGCAGAUAUCAGGAGGAACACCGAUGGCGAAGGCAGUGUUCUGGGCCAGUACUGACGCUGAGGAGCGAAAGCGUGGGGAGCAAACAGG